rnacentral:rRNA from 1 species
UGGGGAAUAUUGGGCAAUGGGGGAAACCCUGACCCAGCAACGCCGCGUGAAGGAAGAAGGCUUUCGGGUUGUAAACUUCUUUUACCAGGGACGAAGGACGUGACGGUACCUGGAGAAAAGGCAACGGCUAACUACGUGCCAGCAGCCGCGGUAAUACGUAGGUUGCAAGCGUUGUCCGGAUUUACUGGGUGUAAAGGGCGUGUAGGCGGAGAAGCAAGUUGGGAGUGAAAUCCAUGGGCUCAACCCAUGAACUGCUCUCAAAACUGUUUCCCUUGAGUAUCGGAGAGGCAAGCGGAAUUCCUAGUGUAGCGGUGAAAUGCGUAGAUAUUAGGAGGAACACCAGUGGCGAAGGCGGCUUGCUGGACGACAACUGACGCUGAGGCGCGAAAGCGUGGGGAGCAAACAGGAUUAGAUACCC